CUUAGUUCGUGGAGUGAUCUGUCUGCUUAAUUGCGUUUCAAAAUUUAACUUGAGGACCGGGUUUUGGUUUGGCUAGUGGUUCUACGAUGACUGUGAACUGUCAUGUCUUCGGAUGUGCGACUAUUGGUCUAGGAUCACAUGACUUGCCCCUGGGACUCUUUUGAACGCAACGGACGUGAUUGCAACCCCUUGUUGAGAUUAGAGAUAGUCUCGAUAUUCACUGGACAAACUGGCUGCUUUAUGCAGUCUUGUUGAAUGGUGGAUAAACUCGGGGGACUGCUGACUAUAACCAUUUCUCAAAACAGAGGAAGGUUGCGGCAAUAACAGGUCUGUGAUGCCCUCAGAUGUCCCGGGCUGCACACGUGCUACAAUGAGUGGCGCAAUGUGCUAAUGUUUAAGGGAUAAGAGUGUGGUCAGUAGAACGUCGGGAUUUCCCCUGACGUCUCCCCCGCACGAUUAUCAGCCUUCCCUUAACAGGGCGGGCAACCUUUUCAAAAUACUGGUUUGAUGUUAAAGUAUUGAGUCGUUUUUUUUGGAUGGUGGUUUGUUAACCAAUACCAUCCGGCAACUGCUCGCGAGUUUGUGGUUCUG
rnacentral:rRNA from 1 species